UACGAAGGGGGCAAGCGUUGUUCGGAAUCACUGGGCGUAAAGGGCGCGUAGGCGGACAUUUAAGUCAGGGGUGAAAUCCCGGGGCUCAACCCCGGAACUGCCCUUGAUACUGGGUGUCUUGAGACCGGAAGAGGUAAGUGGAACUGCGAGUGUAGAGGUGAAAUUCGUAGAUAUUCGCAAGAACACCAAUGGCGAAGGCGGCUUAACUGGUCCGGAUCUGACGCUGAGGCGCGAAAGCGUGGGGAGCAAACAGG
rnacentral:rRNA from 1 species